rnacentral:rRNA from 1 species
GACGAACGCUGGCGGCGUGCUUAACACAUGCAAGUCGAACGGAAAGGCCCUGCUUUUGUGGGGUGCUCGAGUGGCGAACGGGUGAGUAACACGUGAGUAACCUGCCCUUGACUUUGGGAUAACUUCAGGAAACUGGGGCUAAUACCGGAUAGGAGCUCCUGCUGCAUGGUGGGGGUUGGAAAGUUUCGGCGGUUGGGGAUGGACUCGCGGCUUAUCAGCUUGUUGGUGAGGUAGGGGCUUACCAAGGCUUUGACGGGUAGCCGGCCUGAGAGGGUGACCGGCCACCAUGGGCCUGAGGUACGGCGCAGACUCCUACGGGAGGCAGCAGUGGGGAAUCUUGCGCAGUAGGCGGGAGUCUGAUACGGAAGCGCCGCGUGCGGGAUGACGGCCUUCGGGUUGUAAACCUCUUUCGCAUGUGACGAGGCGUGCGUGACGGUAAUGGGUCAAGAAGCCCCGGCUAACUACGUG